rnacentral:lncRNA from 10 species
AUUUAUUCGUAAUUAGACGGGGAGGAAAGUCUUUGAAGAGCAACCUCUACUUUACUUUUUAUAAGUGGAUGUUACCAGUGUGGAAAGCGAGGGCAUUUUAAGAGAGAAUGUCCUGAAUGAAAAAAAGAAGAAAAGGUUAAAAGGACUUCUGACUCAAACUCCACUUCUAGAGUUCAGGUUCAGCACUUCCAGCCCGGCGACUUGGUGCUGAUUAAGACUUGGGAAGAAGACAAGCUCCACCCAAACUGGGAAGGUCCCUACCAAGCGCUCCUGACCACUGAGACAGCUGUGUGAACAGUGGAACGGGGAUGGAAGAAUUGUCUGAAGAGGAUGAGUGAUCACCUUCCAGGUGGAGGGAAGGGGUCUCAUUAUGUUGCCCAGGCUGGACUCAGUGACUCAAAUGUCUGUGCUCAAGGGAUCCUCCUGCCUCAGCAUCUCAAGAAGCUAUGACUACAGGUGCAUGUCACCCAUCCAGCUCAAUCACACAUCAGACCGCUAAAAAUAAGGAUACUAGUCUCAAAGCUAAAUUUUAUUGUUGUCAAAAUUUUCAACAUCAG